GGGUCCUAAGUAUAAGCAUUAUACGGCGAAACUGCGAAUGGCUCAUUAUAUAAGUUAUCGUUUAUUUGAUAGUACCUUACUACUUGGAUAACCGUGGUAAUUCUAGAGCUAAUACAUGCUAAAAAUCCCGACUUCGGAAGGGAUGUAUUUAUUAGAUUAAAAACCAAUGCCCUUCGGGGCUCCUUGGUGAUUCAUGAUAACUUCGCGAAUCGCAUGGCCUUGCGCCGGCGAUGGUUCAUUCAAAUUUCUUCCCUAUCAACUUUCGAUGUUUGGGUAUUGGCCAAACAUGGUUGCAACGGGUAACGGAGGGUUAGGGCUCGACCCCGGAGAAGGAGCCUGAGAAACGGCUACUACAUCCAAGGAAGGCAGCAGGCGCGCAAAUUACCCAAUCCCGACACGGGGAGGUAGUGACAAUAAAUACUGAUACAGGGCUCUUUAGGGUCUUGUAAUUGGAAUGAGUACAAUUUAAAUCCCUUAACGAGGAACAAUUGGAGGGCAAGUCUGGUGCCAGCAGCCGCGGUAAUUCCAGCUCCAAUAGCGUAUAUUAAAGUUGUUGUGGUUAAAAAGCUCGUAGUUGAACCUUGGGCCUGGCUGGCCGGUCCGCCUCACCGCGUGCACUGGUCCGGCCGGGCCUUUCCCUCUGUGGAACCCCAUGCCCUUCACUGGGCGUGGCGGGGAAACAGGACUUUUACUUUGAAAAAAUUAGAGUGCUCCAGGCAGGCCUAUGCUCGAAUACAUUAGCAUGGAAUAAUAAAAUAGGACGUGCGGUUCUAUUUUGUUGGUUUCUAGGACCGCCGUAAUGAUUAAUAGGGACAGUCGGGGGCAUCAGUAUUCAAUUGUCAGAGGUGAAAUUCUUGGAUUUAUUGAAGACUAACUACUGCGAAAGCAUUUGCCAAGGAUGUUUUCAUUAAUCGGAACGAAAGUUAGGGGAUCGAAGACGAUCAGAUACCGGUCGUAGUCUUAACCGUAAACGAUGCCGACUAGGGAUCGGACUGUGUUAUUACUUGACCCGUUCGGCACCUUCGAGAAACAAGUGCUUGGGCUCCAUGGGGAGUAUG
rnacentral:rRNA from 1 species